rnacentral:rRNA from 1 species
CACGUAGGGCGCAAGCGUUGUCCGGAAUUAUUGGGCGUAAAGAGCUUCGAGAGCGGUCUGUUGCGUCCGCUGUGAAAACUCGGGGCUUAACCCCGAGCCUGCAGUGGAUACGGGCAGACUAGAGGUAGGUAGGGGAGAAUGGAAUUCCCGGUGUAGCGGUGGAAUGCGCAGAUAUCAGGAGGAACACCGAUGGCGAAGGCAGCUCGCUGGGACGGUACUGACGCUGAGGCGCGAAAGCGUGGGGAGCGAACAGG